rnacentral:rRNA from 1 species
AACGAACGCUGGCGGCAGGCUUAACACAUGCAAGUCGAACGCACCUUUCGGGGUGAGUGGCAGACGGGUGAGUAACGCGUGGGAAUCUACCCUUCUCUACGGGAUAGCUCCGGGAAACUGGAAUUAAUACCGUAUACGUCCUGAGGGUGAAAGAUUUAUCGGGGAAGGAUGAGCCCGCGUUGGAUUAGCUAGUUGGUGGGGUAAAGGCCUACCAAGGCGACGAUCCAUAGCUGGUCUAAGAGGAUGAUCAGCCACAUUGGGACUGAGACACGGCCCAAACUCCUACGGGAGGCAGCAGUGGGGAAUAUUGGACAAUGGGCGCAAGCCUGAUCCAGCCAUGCCGCGUGAGUGAUGAAGGCCCUAGGGUUGUAAAGCUCUUUCAGUGGGGACGAUAAUGACGGUACCCACAGAAGAAGCCCCGGCUAACUUCGUG